UACGUAGGAUGCAAGCGUUGUCCGGAUUUACUGGGCGUAAAGCGCGCGCAGGCGGCAAGGUAAGUAAGGUGUGAAAUAUCCCGGCUCAACCGGGAGGGUGCACUUUAGACUGCUUUGCUUGAGGUCGGUAGAGGGGGGUGGAAUGCUGGUGUAGCGGUGAAAUGCGCAGAUAUCAGGAGGAACACCAAUUGCGAAGGCAGCUCGCUGGGACGUAACUGACGCUGAGACGCGAAAGCGUGGGGAGCAAACAGG
rnacentral:rRNA from 1 species